rnacentral:rRNA from 1 species
GGGAAGUGGCCUCGCAAGAGGAGCCUGGAGACAGGUGCUGCAUGGCUGUCGUCAGCUCGUGUCGUGAGAUGUUGGGUUAAGUCCCGCAACGAGCGCAACCCUUGUCUUUAGUUGCCAUCAUUCAGUUGGGCACUCUAAAGAGACUGCCGGUGUCAAACCGGAGGAAGGUGGGGAUGACGUCAAGUCCUCAUGGCCUUUAUGACCAGGGCUACACACGUACUACAAUGGCCGGUACAAAGGGCAGCCACUUAGCGAUAAGGAGCCAAUCCCGUAAAGCCGGUCUCAGUCCGGAUUGGAGUCUGCAACUCGACUCCAUGAAGUUGGAAUCGCUAGUAAUCGCAGAUCAGCACGCUGCGGUGAAUACGUUCCCGGGCCUU